GGUGAAAGAGGAAGGUAGUACAAUCUUUAUCAUGGACUCAGACGAGAGCCGUACUCUUUCUGCAUCCGACAUCAGCUAGAAUACGAGUAGGA